UAGGGAAUAUUGGGCAAUGGGCGGAAGCCUGACCCAGCCACGCCGCGUGCAGGAAGACGGCCCUCUGGGUUGUAAACUGCUUUUAACUGGGAAGAAAAGAGGCUUUGCGAAGCAAGUUGACGGUACCAGUUGAGUAAGCCACGGCUAACUACGUGCCAGCAGCCGCGGUAAUACGUAGGUGGCGAGCGUUAUCCGGAUUUAUUGGGUUUAAAGGGAGCGUAGGCGGCUGAUUAAGUCAGCGGUGAAAGGUAGCAGCUUAACUGUUUUACAUGCCGUUGAUACUGGUUAGCUUGAGUUGACAGAAGGCAGAUAGAAUUCCUGAUGUAGCGGUGAAAUGCUUAGAUAUCAGGAGGAAUACCGAUUGCGAAGGCAGUCUGCUGCAGUCACACUGACGCUGAGGCUCGAAGGUGCGGGGAUCAAACAGGAUUAGAUACCCUGGUAGUCCGCACAGUAAACGAUGAUUACUAGAUGUUGGCCAAGCCAGUGUCCAAGGGAAACCGAUAAGUAAUCCACCUGGGGAGUACGCCGGCAACGGUG
rnacentral:rRNA from 1 species